AUGGCAGACGAGGUAGUAACACGUAGGAACGUCCCCUGAAGUCGAGCAUAACCAGCCGAAAGGUUGGAUAAUUCUCGAUGGUCUCGCAAGAGUAAAGAUUUAUCGCUUCAGGAGCGGCCUGCGUAAUAUCAGCUAGUUGGUGAGGUAAUGGCUCACCAAGGCUAUGACGUUUAGGGGAGCUGAGAGGCUGACCCCCACCGAUGAGACUGAGAACGGCUCAUACCCCUACGGGGGGCCGCAGCCGAGAAUAUUCGACAAUGGGCGAAAGCCUGAUCGAGCGAUACCGCGUGGUGGAUGAAGCGCUUCGGCGCGUAAACAUCUUUUAUGGAGGAGGAAGUAAUUGACGUUACUCCAUGAAUAAGGGGCUCCUAACUCUGUGCCAGCAGGAGCGGUAAUACAGAGGCCCCGAGCAUUACCCGGAUUUACUGGGCGUAAAGAGUGCGUAGGUGGUCAUAUUAGUCGUUUGUUAAAGCCCAGGGCUCAACCCUGGACAUGCGGACGAAACGGUAUGACUAGAGAGCGUGAGAGGUGCAUAGAACUCUAGGUGUAGGGGUGAAAUCCGUUGAUAUCUAGGGGAAUACCGAAAGCGAAGGCAGUGCACUGGCGCGUUUCUGACACUCAAGCACGAAAGC
rnacentral:rRNA from 1 species